rnacentral:rRNA from 1 species
UMRACACAGAUAGUAUGUAACACAUAUACCAUCCGCCAGAGAACUACAAGCGAAAAGCUCGAAACUCCAAGGACUUGGCGGUGCUUCAAAUCAACCUAGAGGAGCCUGUCCUAUAAUCGAUACCCCACGUUUCACCUUACCACUUCUAGCCAACCAGCCUAUAUACCGCCGUCGUCAGCCUACCUUAUGAAAGAAAUAAAGUGAGCAAAAGAGUUAGCAACUAACACGUCAGGUCAAGGUGUAGCACACGAAGCGGCAGAGAUGGGCUACAUUUCUCCAAAGGAGAAAACCACGAACAGUAAACUGAAACACGCACUCGAAGGCGGAUUUAGUAGUAAAAUAAACAAGACUAAUCAUUUUAAACCUGCUCUGAAGCGCGCACACACCGCCCGU